AUCUCAUUACUUUUAAAAGCUGAUUGGGUUUCAGCUAGUUUCCUGUCACUGACAUUAUCAAAAUGUCCAUAGUGCGGCUCGGGGCACCAGCCCAGCAUGGCAGCCUCAGGUGAUUUAAGCAGAGCCCACCAGCCACUGCUGCUGUGUGUUCCUGGUUCUCAAGAGAGUCAUGUCGCGUUUGCGCUGUCGGCUCUAAACCCAAAAGUAUGGUUUGCUUUCCAUUUUAAAAAGAAUCUCAUCACUGUAGUUGAAUCCCGUCCGUUGCCGGGGCUUCUGUCUGAAGACCACAUGACAGCAGAAAUUCAGUUGCUGCUGUCGAGGGAAGGUGCCUCUUCAUCCGCCCGUGAGUUGAGUGAGUUGACCCUUGUGUCUUUGCUGCUCCCAGCGAAAACACUCGAAGUGGUCAGCAGCCGACCAUGCAGCCUCUGAGGGGUCGGUAACUGGAAGCUAAUGCAGAUCUGUUGACGAAUUCGAGAGGUGUGCUUGUUAAAAGGUUUUGGAUCCCUGUCUCUUGCCUUGAGUGCCCUGAAGUCGUCACUUAGGAUAGCUACCCACUUUGUUCUUGGUAGUUUUCAUGACUUUCCCUUCCUGGCUCUUUCUUUUGUUUGUUCUGUUUUGAUUUUUUUUUUUUAAACUUCCCUUCCAAGUAAAAGCUGCCCUGCAUAUUUUAUUUAAAAGAAAAGGAGAAAGGGGCAAGUCAGUACUCUAAAAAUGUUUGGGUUUUGUUUGUUUUGUUUGUUUGUUUGUUUGUUUGUUUUUGGCAAUUUAUGCACCAAGAGUCUUAAAUCAAGGAGUUCCUGAUCCUCUGCCAUUUAUCGCUUUUUAUGUCUGCACACACAAACACACAGUGGUGAAAAAUGAUGUGGGGGUUCGUGGGAAGGAUUUUAUUCUAAUAGAGGUGACCAGAGUUUCUUUACAUUCCUAUGUGUCUGUCAUUUGUGACUCAGGCAACAACCCGGCCAAGGAACAGUUCUGGAUAUCUCUCUCUGGUUAUGCUUAACGGUAAAAGCGCUUUGGCUUUGGUUCUCAGCUCUUCAGGCAUCCGACUGUCAGAAACUGGCAGCAGCAUUUCAUUUCUGCACUGUCCAGUGUGAUAGCCGUUAGACUCGUGUGGCUACAGAGCCUUUGAAAUAGAACUAGAGCAACCGAGAAAGUGAUCUAUGGUUUGGGGCCUGCUUAAAUCCAAGUCUUCACAUGUGAUUACUUUACUGGACAGCAAAUUCUGGUCUGUAGAGCUGUGACAUAGAUUUGUAUUGUCUCUGCCUCACCCGUUUUUACUGCCUACUAGUGCCAAACAGGGUUAGGUCUUGUGGUAGAAACAGGAGGAGAAGGAGUUCAGGGCCAGUCCCAGCUAUAUAGCAAGUGUGAGAUACAAGGCCUGGGCUACUUAAAAAAAUAAAAAAAUAAAAGUGAUGGCAGAGUACUUGCUCAGAAAGCAUGAAGUCCCGAGUUCAGGUCCCAGCAUAACAUAAACUGGGUGUGGUGGCCUAGGACUAUAAUCCACAGAAUCUGUGGUUCAAGGUCAUUUUUGUCUGCAUAGGGAGGGUGAAGCAAGCUGGGGGCUGAAAGAGUCCCUAUCUCCAAAAGAACAAAACCAACUUUAAAAAGCUGCGUCAGGGAACCUACAAAUCUCUUCAGUGCAUGGACAGGCAGUUCCUCCCUCCCUCCAGGUAUUCCUUACAGUUGCAGCUUUUAGUAGGGCUUCUCUUUUCAAAACAGAACCUGACGAUUCAGGUUGUCUUUUAUGUGUGAAUAUUAAGAUAAGCAAUCAAAUUUGGUUUUCUUCCCCUUCCUCAGCCUACUCAGCCAACCGUGUCUGAACCUGGUGCACAGUGCUGGUUUGCAUACCUAAUACCUUUAUUUAUUUGUUUGUUUGUUUGUUUUUCUGUGAUUCUCAGUGGUAAAGAACCUUGCUAUCUGGAUUCAUUAAGCUGAGUGCUGAGGAUUACCCUGGGUUAGUGAUGAAUAUACAUAUUGUCAAGUGACCAUCACCAGACAUGUGACUGUCAUCUAAACUCCUAGACAGCGUGGCCUCUGAGUUUCUUGGUGGACAGGACAGGUUAGCUGGUAGCCAAGAUCGGUUCUUAAAUCGGCCUGUCUGUGCAGUUGGCUUUGCAGCGCACAUGCUUUGCAUGCCUUGCUGCUGCCAACACGUAGCAUUUAAAUAACAUUGGAGUAAGCAAGGCUCCUCCUGCUGCUUGUCUGCCUUCAAAAUGGUGAGUUUCUGCAUAGAGCUGACUCAGGCCUGCCCGAGCGAGGUUGGAGGCACUUCUUUUAGCCCAGGCUGGCCACAGACUCACUGUUGAGCGGAACAUGACUGAAUUCCUGAACUCCUCUUGAUCCUCCUGUUACUACCUUCCAUGUGCUGGGACCACAGGUGUGAUCCCCCUGUUACUACCUUCCAUGUGCUGGGAUCACAGGUGUAACCCUCCUGUUACUAGCUUCCAAGUGCCAGGAUCACAGAUUCUGCGCUCUAGCUACACUUCGCUGCCCAUCACCCUCUGGGUCCUUCUCAUGGUCUUCCCUCUGCCCUCUUCCCCUUUCUUCUUUGUCUGGAUAAUCUCACGGUUUGGAAUCAGAUCCGGUGAAUUCCCCUCCAGACCUUCCUUACUCACUGGGCUCCUCUAAAGAUCACCUCAUCACUGCCAUCUUCCCCACCCUGGUGCAGAAGACCAACCCUUCCUUGUGCUCCCUAGCUUCCCGAGUCCUGAGCUUCUCUCCUGAUGCUCAUCUCAGAGUGAAUACACCCGCACACCCCACCUGGCCCUUCUCAGGCUGGAAGCCUAAGGGCCUGAGUGCCCCCUCUUUAUUCUGUGUCUGGGCAGGGUGCUGAAGAAGGUAACUUUAGCUUCAAAAAUAGCUCCUAAAGGUCUGACAAAUUCUAAGAAAGGUUGGGUGCAUUAGAACUGCCCUUCCUAGAUGACUCUUGAAAGGGUGCCUGCUUUUAAUCACAUUACUCACUGCAUUUAUAUAAUAAUAUCCCAGGAUUUUGCUCCACUUUGCUGUUUUCUGAUUCUGAUAUUUUUCUCUGGUAUAAAAGAUGACUAUAUAUGAAUAUAUAUAUGUAUAUUUGCCGAGUGUGACUGCUUUGCUUAUAUCAAGGUUAAUCCUUUCUGUCCCUUUGUUCAGAUUAAAUUACGGCAAAAUAAAAUUUCCCCUUGAAAUCAUGACUUGGUUCUGAAACACCUCUUUCCUGCCACCCCCAUUGUUAAGCUGUGUUGACAAAAAACUUUGCCAUAUUCACUGUCGAAGGAGAGGCCCUGCCGAGCAAGGUCUGCAGAAGGAAUGGAUCUGCACUUUACUGUGUGUUCUGUUGGACAGGUGACAAUUAAGCACGUGCAGUGUGCACCUGCUAAGUCUUGAGUCUUUGUUCACGGAAGAGUCGUGGCUCAAGGCAUGUGUGCACCACUCUGCUAUCCUUCUCACGAAUCCUAUUUUUCUCAUACUUCUCUCUUCCUUUGUUCUGUAGGACAUGACCAUUGUCUUUUACCAGAGCCCUUUCUUAGGCAUGUCAGAACAAGGCACACAGUUUUAGUAGGAAAAUGUAACAGUCAAUGAGUCAGAAGUGAAGUGUAUUCAGGAAGAACACUAACUUCAAAAUUCCCAAUUAUAAGGAAGAACUGUUGAUGUCAGGUUGAUUGGUAUAACUUUCAUCUACUUAAGAGACCCUAACUAUAAUCUUUAUUCAAAAUAUUGGUAUAAACAUAAAAAGUAUUGGAGCAAGGGUGAGGAUAUUUGAUCUACAGCUUUCUCUUUGUGGAGUCUCAAAACAUUUGUAAAACAAAUGAGUUGCACUGUUUCCUAGGCAUUCUGUGUUAGGGAAGAGGUCACUGAGUGUUGCUGUAUACAAGAGGACGUGCUCAGCCUGUUUAUAAUCAGUGUAUUUUACAGUCAGAUACUACAUAAAAUGAAAUCUCCUGCAAUAGAAAACUAACAGGCUUAAGUUAAAUAGUUGAUGUGUUUACAAGAUGACUACUCAAAUAGUAGGACCCAAGCACAAUUAAAUACUGGCUUAGAAACGUCUGACUUGUAACUCUUAGGCAUUACGUAUCGGAAGAGUAUGUUCCGCUUGAGCUGACUCUCUAAUGUCUACUAAUAUCAGUGCAUCACGGGUAACUUUAGUUUGAUGUUUCUGAGUAGUAUUCCAGGUAAAUUGCCACCACCUUCAUAUUUCAUUUUUUGUUUUUUUUUUAUUUGAUUUUAUGGCUUUUGUUUGUUCACUAAUUUGUUUAUUUGGCAAGAAUUUACAUAGACCAUGCUAUACUCAAAUUU